GAAAAGAGCCCUAUAUAGCUACAAGAGAUAUGUAUGAGGUGACAAGCUCUUACACAUGUAUAUAUGUAUGAGGUGGUCAGGAGUGAAUCCCUUUUCUGAUCUCUUUCUUUCAUCCAUUGUUCUCUGUCUCGCUUGAUCCAGUCAUGUUCCAGCACUCCUCACAAAAGUAUCACUUCCAGACUCCUAGUAUGGGCCGAAAGGAGGAGUUUUAUUUUUUCUGAUUAUACAUGCAACAGGGAAUAGUUAAAAAACAAUAACAAAUUAAAUGAUCAUGUGGUGAACCGGCUUCUUCUCCACUGCAUUUGCUGAUGACAUAGGAAGUCACUGCAAUAUGGUAUUAUGAAAUUAUUUUUCAUGAAAAAAUGAUGAUACACUUUCAUCUAACCAACUUGAAUACUCACUUUCCUCAAGAAAACAAUCUGAAUAGUCUUGUGCAUGGCAUGAUCCAAAUUCAGACGACACACUUCCUUAUAUGCUAUCUAUUAAUGAACGAACGGGUACUUACAUGUAUAUGAGGCCAGAACCAGGCGUCGCGGACAGGGUAUCUGUCUUCC
rnacentral:lncRNA from 1 species